AACGCAGGCGGUCUUUUAAGUCUGAUGUGAAAGCCUUCGGCUUAACCGAAGUAGUGCAUUGGAAAUUGGAAGACUUGAGUGCAGAAGAGGAGAGUGGAACUCCAUGUGUAGCGGUGAAAUGCGUAGAUAUAUGGAAGAACACCAGUGGCGAAAGCGGCUCUCUGGACUGUAACUGACACUGAGGCAAGACUGGGGAGCAAACA
rnacentral:rRNA from 1 species